rnacentral:rRNA from 1 species
CAGCAGCCGCCGCGGGAAUACGUAGGGUGCAAGCGUUAAUCGGAAUUACUGGGCGUAAAGCGUGCGCAGGCGGUUCGCUAAGACCGAUGUGAAAUCCCCGGGCUUAACCUGGGAACUGCAUUUGUGACUGGCGGGCUAGAGUAUGGCAGAGGGGGGUAGAAUUCCACGUGUAGCAGUGAAAUGCGUAGAGAUGUGGAGGAAUACCGAUGGCGAAGGCAGCCCCCUGGGCCAAUACUGACGCUCAUGCACGAAAGCGUGGGGAGCAAACAGGAUUAGAUACCCCAGUAGUCCCUGUCUCUUAUAC